AGAUGGACAUACGACAGAUAAACUUCCUCUACGACUGCGAGCGACCAGGACGCCGAGUGGGAGUUCUGCCAGACCCAAGAGAGCUGUCGCGCAACCUCACGCUUUACAUUGAAGUGCGGAACGGGAAUGACGCGCGGCGCACGGCGGCAGAUUGGUUCUUGCUCGCCGCGCUGUUGCUCACGAGACAUCUUCUUCACUCAGCCGCCUGAGAAGCUUUCCAGGCAACGCAAAUGAUGGCGAUGGCGGAAAGAAAAGAUUACAUGGUUCAAAAAGCCUUGGAAAUUAUUUGCAACGACAUUUAUGGGAAACUAAUAACUCGCGUGCGCGCACGCUCUAUUCAAUUCGUAUUGUGCUUGGAUCAGAAAUCCAUCAAUUACUAUAGCCUAAUCAGUAUAGUCGAGAAGUGACUAUAUAAUCAGUAUAGUCGGCCUGUUGUUUGAACUUCAGGGAGUUCUGUUACUGACGAUUUUACGUCUGCACGGUUGCUGGGAAUGAUUUAGUAAACGGUUACUCAGAUUCAAUUAGCAAGCAAUUUCAUCUGUCAAUAUCGAGAAACUUUCUGGUGAAAUAAAAACUGGAUAGAACAGAUAUUCAUUUUAAGAUCGUUUAAUGUGUGGGUUUUAUCAAUAAAUUGGUAAUAUUUGUUUCGCUAAAUUAAGAUUUAUAACUACUACACUUUGUGUUUUAGUUCGUACUAAAAGUUCUAAUACAGUGGAAUCCGAAAUGGUGGAGGAACGGAAGAAAAACACACGCAGAAUUACAGCUCAAUACAUCUGAACCUCAACAACAAUAAUAC